GACGAACGCUGGCGGCGUGCUUAACACAUGCAAGUCGAACGGAAAGGCCCUGCUUUUGUGGGGUGCUCGAGUGGCGAACGGGUGAGUAACACGUGAGUAACCUGCCCUUGACUGUGGGAUAACUUCAGGAAACUGGGGCUAAUACCGGAUAGGAGCUCCUGCUGCAUGGUGGGGGUUGGAAGGUUUCGGCGGUUGGGGGUGGACUCGCGGCUUAUCAGCUUGUUGGGUGGGUAGUGGCUUACCAAGGCUUUGCCGGGUAGCCGGCCUGAGAGGGUGACCGGCCACAUUGGGCCUGAGAUACGGCCCAGACCCCUACGGGAGGCAGCAGUGGGGAAUAUUGCACAAUGGGCGGAAGCCUGAUGCAGCACCGCCGCGUGCGGGAUGACGGCCUUGGGGUUGUAAACCGCUUUCGCCUGUGACGAAGCGUGAGUGACGGUAAUGGGUAAAGAAGCACCGGCUAACUACGUG
rnacentral:rRNA from 1 species